CAGCAAACAUUUCACCCUUUGUGUUAAAUGAAAUACACAAAUUCAUUUUUGCUCUGGGUGUCUGCGGCUGCUGGAAAACUGAGCCACAAUAAAAACACAUAUCUCUACUUUUAUCCUUCCGUCCUCUGAAACUUCCUUGCUGUGCUGGAGCAGAUAAUCCUGCAUACAUUAGUUUCUCACUUUCCUCUGAGCCUUCUACAUCAAAAUUAAACUUUAUCUUAACACUUUUAGCUUUCGUGGUAGUAUCUGCACUGGCCUUCAUUUCUCACUUUCCUCUGAGCCUUCUACAUCAAAAUUCAACUUUAUCUUAACACUUUUAGCUUUCGUGGUAGUAUCUGCACUGGCCUUCAGUUUUACUGACCUGUUUUCUGGCAAUUAUCGUUCUGGGAUAAGGGCUCCGGAAAUAAUUAGAAU
rnacentral:lncRNA from 1 species